CAUUAAAGCAAAUACAAUUUGAUCAUUCAUGCUUUUAGAUCUCCUCUAUCUUAUUUUGAUCUUAAUGAUUGGUCCAAGCACCUUUAAUCUUAGAAAUCACCAACAAAUCUAUUAGUUGAACCUUGUUGGUUGUAUAGAGCAACUAAUUCUUAUAUAAGUAACUAUUUAUUGAAGAGAUAAGGACUUGACAGAGCUCAAC
rnacentral:lncRNA from 1 species